CGGCCGAGCACAUGGGCCCGCGGGCCGGGCGGGCUCGGGGCGGCCGGGACGAGGAGGGGCGACGACGAGCUGCGAGCAAAGAUGUGCCCCGGGACCCCCGGCACCUUCCAGUGGAUUUCCUUGCGGAAAGGAUGUUGGCGGUCCCUGUGACCUGUGGAGACACGGCCAGAUCUGCCCUCCAGUGAUUUAUUAGGAGAAAAACCUUCCCGGAAGCUGCAGAAGGACAAAUACAGAAUCCGUGUCUGGGAGAAACCUCGUGGCCUGGUCUCCAUUAUUUGAGAUGAGUUACAUCUUGGAGGUGAGGACGUGCCUGACCAUAGCUGUCUGCAGUGCAGGAAGCCAACUAUUAAGGGGAAACAAAAGUGUUCUUAGGAGUCCUGCUGUCACUGUGGAUUGAGCCGGUGAAGCCCUGAGGGAUUUCAUCGCUGAGGUGGAUGGAGAAGCAGCUGGGGGCCUUGGCUGUAAGGACCCCUAAGGGCCUGAUCUUUUGGCCAGAAGGAGAUUAAAAAGAUGCCCCUCAAGAUGGCUGUGCCUGUCAGCUGCAUGGAGCUUCGUUCAAGUAUUUUCUGAGCCUGAUGGAUUUACAGUGAUCUUCAGUGGUCUGGGGAAUAACGCUGGUGGAACCAUGCACUGGAAUGACACACGCCCGGCACAUUUCAGGAUACUAAAAGUGGUUUUAAGGGAGGCUGUGGCUGAAUGCCUCAUGGAUUCUUACAGCUUGGAUGUCCAUGGGGGACGAAGGACUGCAGCUGGCUGAGAGGGUUGAGAUCUCUGUUUACUUAGAUCUCUGCCAACUUCCUUUGGGUCUCCCUAUGGAAUGUAAGACCCCGACUCUUCCUGGUGAAGCAUCUGAUGCACGUUCCAUCCGGCGCUCAGCUGGGCUUGAGGUUCCAGAUUCCUGGGAACACCACCAUGGAGGGCCUGGCCUUUGGCGGUGGACAGUCUGUGGCUGGGUGGGAACGUCAGGAGUGGGGCCUGCCUCUUUGCUGGGAAUGCCGUGCACUCCCAGCCCACUUGCCCCAUGCCAGCACUCGAGGCAGGACUUCGCAGGUGAGCAGUAACGGAAAUCAGCCCCGUUUAUUCCUCCCAGCACCUGCCUUAUCCAACUCCCCACGCUGUGGCUGAGUCCCAGCCUGCUAUGGAAGCAUCACUGGACUCCCAUUGAACUCUGUGCAGAUUCGCUGUUCGUAGACAUGGUACCUGAUGGACACCAAGCUACGUACAGCUUCAAGGCCCCUUCUUUCUUUGCUAAUCUGACCAUACUCCCUGGAGCCUUCUCCCGAGGUGCGCGGGUGACCUUGGCACAUACAGCCAUCAUGAUGGUACUUUAAGUGGAGGCUGAAUCAUCUCCCCUUUGAGCUGCUUGGCACGUGGCUCCCUUGGUGUUCCCCUUUUACUGCCAGGACACUGAGAUUUGGAGAGAGUCUCACUCUGUGGUCCAGGCUGAAGUACAGUGGCAUGAUCCCAGGUCACUGCAACCCCCACCUCCCGGGUUCAAGUGAUCCUCCUGCCUCAGCCUCCCGAGUAGCUGGUAUUACAGGCGUGUGCCACAAAGCCUGGCUAAGUUUUGUAUUUUUAGUAGAGACGGGGUUUCACCAUGUUGGCCAGGUUGGUCUCGAACUCCUGACCUCAAGUGAUCCACUCACUUUGGCCUUUCAACGUGCUGGGAUUACAGGCGAGAGUCACCGCACCCGGACGACUCUGACAUUUUUGAAGAGUCCAGAAUCCUGUUACACCUGGGAUUUAGGCACUUUCAAUCUGAAAAAAUACAUAUCCUUUCAGCACUCUGGACGGACUUGAGAACUGUCCUUACGUGACCUAAAGCUGGAGUAUUUUGAGAUUGGAGAAUUAAGAGUGUGGGCACCCUGGCUUCAAGCUCACGAGAAACCAGGUCGGGAUUUAAACAAUGUUGGGUUAAAGCAAAGUUUCAUAAAGACAGAAUCAAGAAAAAAAGAAAGAGAAACCAAUCUAAGUGCCAUCCUCCCUGAGUUGCAUCUUACCUGAGUCUUCAGCCGCCGCCCCCUGCUGCUGUGGGAGGAAACGGGAAAGUGACUGGCCAUGGGGACAGGGGUCGGGGGUGUGAGGGUUAGUGGUAGCAGGGAGGUAGCACUUCUGUGAAGCCGGAAAGGAGACCUGAACCUGGCUCUCUGCUUUGCUGCUUGCCAGCCCUCUGGCUGGGAAGAAGGCUCUUGGCUCUUGUGAGCCUCGGUUUCCUCUGCAGAGUGGCCUGUUCUGAGGACAGGCUGACAUUGCUGUCCAUCAGUCUUCCAGGACCCUGAGGAUUUCAGCUCUACCCAUGGGCACUGAACUGGAACAUUCACUGGUCAUUUGCUUUCGUUUUUUGCCAACAGAGAUUUUGAGAAACACAUUGAAGGAUCUGUUAACACUUGAUAUACCCAAUAAAAGCAGUGGUUGUGCCAGUGCUGAUCUGUCUUGAUGUGAAUGUGAACAAUGGGAACCUGAGCUGAGCAGUUAAUGCUAGGGUGACAGAAACUGGACCUCUCCCAAGACAUGUGACAGAGUAAUACAGCAGCCAACUUCUUCGCCAAAUUAAAGUUUUACAAGAUUUAACCUGUCAUCAAGACCUGGGAUUUUGGUGGUGUGGAUCCAAUCCAAUCACACGGGCCCUUAAAGGCAGAGGUUUUCUCCGACUGUGAUCAAGAAAAUGCCAUGAAAGAUUGUAAGUGUGAGAAGGAGUUGAUGUGCCACUGCUGGCUCUGAAAUGUGGGGCCCACUUGUAGGAACUGGAGGGAGAGACUGGUUGCUAACGGUGGCCCCUAGCUAACAGCCAACAGAGAAAUGGGGACCGCCGGCCUACAGCUGCAGGGAACUGAAUUCAGCAACAUGAAUAAGUUUGGAAGAGGAUCCUUCCAGAACCUCCUGAUAGGAGCCCAGUCCGCUGUCACCUUGAAUUCAGCUUCAUGAACCAGGAGCAGGGAAACCAGCUGAGCCAACCCACAUUCUGACCUAAGGAGCACUGAGAGCCAGUCUUGGUGCUCUGUGUUCACCUGGUUCAUCUGAGGAGCUGCAUCUACCCUGCCCAUGCCAUAGAUCCUGCCCUGUUUGCUUCUCCUGUUGCUGCUAGUGGACAUGAGGUUAGGAACAGUAUGCUGAGGAGGGAGUCUCUUCUCAAAUGAAAAGGCAAAGCCCCUUACAAAGGAAGCUUAUUACUCCUUUCCUUUCUUCCUCCCUAGAUCUUGGACAUGAUACCUGGAUGUGCAGCAGCCAUCUGGUAAUUAUGAGGUGACAAGUCAAUAGACUGAGAUGGUGGAGCAGCAAAGAUAGAAAAGAAGGACAGAAUAACGGGCUCCCAGAUUCACAAGCCCCACCAAGAGGAUCACCCCAGGAACGCUUGGAGGCUGAGGAGUUCACUGAGGCUACUGCAUCUUGAGACUCAGGAUGAAGACCCAGCUUGGGGCUGUCAAAGGUUGGAAUUGUAGUGUGCAGCCUUGGGAACAGGGCUGGGCUCAGGGGUUGGGAACAGAGGCCCAGGGCUCUGGCUGACCCUCUCUCAUCCCCAGGAGGAGAAGCUGCUGUGUUUAGAGUGUCACAAAGAACAGUGCUGGAGGCUUCAGAAAUCUCGGGAGAUUCUGAACUUCUAGGCGGAGCAGAUGGGAUGGUGCCUCUGUGAUCAACAGGCCUGGCAGAGGGGUGCAGGAGGGGGUGCGAAUGGAAAGACAGCUGCCAAGGGGAACGGAGAGCUUUUCAAGUCACCCUUGUCCCCUCCCCACCCCACCAUCAGGGCUAAGACUAAACCUCACCAUCCGGUUGCGGCCUCUCGGCCCUGGGGAUGGAGAUUAGUACAUGUAGAGUGGAGGUAGAGAGGCCAUGUUCUGGUUGUGUGACCUUGCACAGGUUACAUAACAUUCUGUGCCUCACUUUACUUGUUUUUAAAAUGAUGAAGAUGAUAACUACCUGGCAGCGUGUCUUAUAUUAGAGAUAAUAUGGUUCCUGGCACUUUGUAAGCACUCGGUGUGAAAUUGUCUUCUGCUGCUCCUCUUCAUCAGUCCACCCCUCCUCUGCAGAGGUUUCCUCCAUGCUGAGCAAGCUGGCAGCACCUAAAUUCCUGUUAGUGCACCCUAGUGCCUUCUGCCCAGGCCUCGGGACCCCCAGGGAUCCUGGCCCCUGUGGACAGGGACUUUUGUGCCCUCCUUCUCUGUUACCAGCAAGAGUGAGUCCUGCACUGAAUUUCCAUGGGAUCAUUGCUUGCUAACAUUUGUGAGUGAGUUACUGUCUAGAAAGCAGCUUUUCUGGACUUUUCCCAUUAAUUUCACGAAAGUUAUCUUCCUUUGCCCUUACUACAUGUUCAUUACUACAGGUUCAUUACCCCAUUUUACAGACAAUUAAUACUCCGAGAUGAAGUGACUCACCAGGGGUCGCCUAGCUAAGCAGUGGAGAGUGGGCCUCCCACCCAGGCCUUCUCACUCUGACUCCUGUUCUCCACGUCAUUGCAUAUGGCGACAUGCGGGUCACGUGAUCACACAUCCCUAGCCGAUAUGGAAUUGUGAGCUUCUCCUGGGUCUUCCGAGGAAGGAUGCUUUCAGGAGUGCUUUGGAAUGAAGGCAGUGGAGGCCAAGAGACCUCUAGGUCAAAGCCAGGCGGGAGGGUCCUCUCAGGGGCCCAGCCGACAAGUUGCAUUUCUCCCUCAGAGGCCUGAAGAGGCAGAACACCCCAGAGGAGCCUGGGGCCACCACCCAGCAUCACUGUGGGAAAACGGCAGCAGGAAAUGUCCUCUCGCCUGCGUGCUCCACCUCGGUCCACGCCUUCCCUCCUUCUGGAAGCCUUGCCUGACCACUGGCCUGCCCCUUCUAUGGGAAUCACUACUGACCUUGCAGCUUAUUAUAGACUUAUAUGUGUUUUUUGCAUGUCUGACACCCAUGACUCCACCUGGACCUUAUGGCUCCACCCAGAAGCAAUUCAGCCCAACAGGAGGACAGCUUCAACCCAUUACGAUUUCAUCUCUGCCCCAACCACUCAGCAGCAAGCACCUGUUACCUGUCCACCCCCACCCCUUCCCCCAAACUGCCUUUGAAAAAUCCCUAACCUAUGAGCUUUGAAUAAGAUGAGUACGAACUUCAUCGCCCACGUGGCGUGGCCGGCCUCGUGUCUAUUAAAUUCUUUUUCUACUACAA
rnacentral:lncRNA from 1 species